AUCCCAGCUAUGUCACU
rnacentral:miRNA from 1 species